GACGAACGCUGGCGGCGUGCCUAAUACAUGCAAGUAGAACGCUGAAGAGAGGAGCUUGCUCUUCUUGGAUGAGUUGCGAACGGGUGAGUAACGCGUAGGUAACCUGCCUUGUAGCGGGGGAUCACUAUUGGAAACGAUAGCUAAUACCGCAUAACAAUGGAUGACACAUGUCACUUAUUUGAAAGGGGCAAUUGCUCCACUACAAGAUGGACAUGCGUUGUAUUAGCUAGUAGGUGAGGUAAUGGCUCACCUAGGCGGCGAUACAUAGCCGACCUGAGAGGGUGAUCGGCCACACUGGGACUGGGACACGGCCCAAGCUCCUACGGGGGGGAGCAGUAGGGGAUCUUCGGCAAUGGGGGCAACCCUGACCGAACAACGCCGCGUGGGUGAAGAAGGGUUUCGGGUCGUAAAAGUCUGUUGUAAGGCGAGAACGGGUGUGAGGGUGGAAAGUUCACGCUGUGACGGUAGCUUACCAGAAAGGGACGGCUAACUACGUG
rnacentral:rRNA from 1 species